rnacentral:rRNA from 1 species
GAUGAACGCUGACAGAAUGCUUAACACAUGCAAGUCCACUUGAAUUUGGGUUUUUUAACUUAGAUUUGGGUGGCGGACGGGUGAGUAACGCGUAAAGAACUUGCCUCACAGCUAGGGACAACAUUUGGAAACGAAUGCUAAUACCUGAUAUUAUGAUUAUAAGGCAUCUUAGAAUUAUGAAAGCUAUAUGCGCUGUGAGAGAGCUUUGCGUCCCAUUAGCUAGUUGGAGAGGUAACGGCUCACCAAGGCGAUGAUGGGUAGCCGGCCUGAGAGGGUGAACGGCCACAAGGGGACUGAGACACGGCCCUUACUCCUACGGGAGGCAGCAGUGGGGAAUAUUGGACAAUGGACCAAGAGUCUGAUCCAGCAAUUCUGUGUGCACGAUGAAGUUUUUCGGAAUGUAAAGUGCUUUCAGUUGGGAAGAAAAAAAUGACGGUACCAACAGAAGAAGUGACGGCUAAAUACGUG